rnacentral:rRNA from 1 species
UAGAGAAUAGCCAAGAGAAAUUUUGAUUAAUGCUCUAUACACUUUAAGACUCACAUGAGUCUAAAAGAAAAGCUCCGGCGGUAAAAGAUGGGCAUGCGUUCUAUUAGCUUGUAGGUGAGGUAACGGCUCACCUAAGCUUCGAUAGAUAGGGGUCCUGAGAGGGAGACCCCCCACACUGGUACUGAGACACGGACCAGACUUCUACGGAAGGCAGCAGUAAGGAAUAUUGGACAAUGGAGGCAACUCUGAUCCAGCCAUGCCGCGUGAAGGAAGAAGGCCCUAUGGGUCGUAAACUUCUUUUAUACAGGAAGAAAUCUUUCCACGUGUGGAAAGUUGACGGUACUGUAAGAAUAAGGAUCGGCUAACUCCGUGCCAGCAGCCGCGGUAAUACGGAGGAUCCAAGCGUUAUCCGGAAUUAUUGGGUUUAAAGGGUCCGCAGGCUGUUUGUUAAGUUAGAGGUGAAAUCCUACCGCUCAACGGUAGAACUGCCUUUAAAACUGGCAAACUUGAGUUAUUGUGAAGUAAUUAGAAUGUGUAGUGUAGCGGUGAAAUGCAUAGAUAUUACACAGAAUACCGAUUGCGAAAGCAGAUUACUAACAAUUAACUGACGCUGAGGGACGAAAGCGUGGGUAGCGAACAGGAUUAGAUACCCUGGUAGUCCACGCCGUAAACGAUGGUCACUAGCUGUUUGAUGUACAUUGGUACAUUGAGUGGCUAAGCGAAAGUGAUA